GAGAGGGAACCUCCUCUGUCGAUUUAUAGGUCUUCCAUGCACACAUACACACACGUAGAUAGACACACGGAGACAGCAGGGGCCUCUCAGACAAAGUCAGGAUGUGACAUCACUCACAGGAAGAGAAGCCAAACAACUUUUCGACUUGUACUUUUUUUUGUCCGCGCUACUGUGUCGCUGGCUUCUCAGUGAAGUUGGAGCCUCAAGGUCUGUUGGUGGCUGGGAAGGAGGGAGUAUCCGUAGGAACCGGAGAGGGACAGAUCUGCCUGGAUCUUUGUCCACAUUCCAAGUCGUCCACAUUGGGAGCCCAGCCAGAGAGGGGUCCCUCCAUUCUCAAUCAUCCCCAAUGUAGAGGUCACUGCCCUCUGAAUAGAACAACUCUUCAGAGACCUGCAACCUAAUCAAACGUAUGUUAGUGAAACCUGUCCAAUCCAUGCUCAGGAACCCCCCCCCCAACACACACACUAACCAUUAGGCCACACCAUAGAGUCCACCAUUAAGACAAUGGCGCUCUGUCUCGGACAAGUCUUCAGCAAAGACAAAACGUUUAGGCCUCGGAAGCGCUUUGAGCCUGGGACACAGCGCUUUGAGCUGUACAAGAAGGCCCAGGCCUCUCUGAAGUCCGGCCUGGACCUGAGGAAAGUGGUCCAGCUUCCCGAAGGAGAGAACAUCAACGACUGGAUCGCCGUGCACGUGGUGGACUUCUUCAACCGCAUCAACCUGAUCUACGGCACGGUCAGCGAGUUCUGCACCGAGCGCACCUGCCCCAUCAUGUCCGGGGGCCUGCGCUACGAGUACCGGUGGCAGGACGGAGACGACUACAAGAAGCCCACCAAGCUGCCCGCCUUGAAAUACAUGAACCUUCUGAUGGACUGGAUAGAGACCAACAUCAACAACGAGAACAUCUUCCCCACGAGAGUGUUCCUUUCCCUAAGAACUUCCAACAGGUGUGCAAGAAGAUCCUGAGCCGUCUCUUCCGGGUCUUUGUGCACGUCUACAUCCACCACUUUGACAGCAUCUGCAGUAUGGGCGCCGAGGCCCAUAUCAAUACCUGCUACAAACACUACUAUUAUUUCAUCUCUGAGUUCAGCCUCAUCGAGCACUCUGAACUGGAGCCCCUGAGAGCAAUGACAGAGAAGAUCUGUAACUAAACCACUUGGACAAUGGAGUGUACAUCAUUUCAAAAUUCCACGGAGCCCUUCAGGAGGCCCACUGCUUAAAUACCAUUCCAAACACGCAAACCAAAGGACAGUUGAGUGGAUUUUGAGUGGAUUUGAUGAACUUAACUGUUAUCCAUCUAGCAUUAGAAUGUUUAUUCACAUUUUCAGCCAAUAGGCUAUAUGUUUUUAGGAAAAAGGACUGUUCUGCUUCCUAGAUUUUGUGCUGUGACAUGCAGCAUUUCAGUAUUGUGUUUUUUAUUUGAAUAACUAUUCUUUCUCUGUUUUAUUAAGCAUGAAUAUGUUUUUCUUGUGCAUGUUCUUGACAUCAUUAACUUCCAAAAUGUGUUUGCGGUUUCGAGGUGUUUGAGCCAUUUUGUGAUGGACAGAAGGCGACAUCACAAGACCACUUUACAGUAUUUAGCAUUUUGUGACAAAUACGUGUCCAAUGUGUCCCAGCCAGAGGCAACAGAGUUAAGGACUUUGAAAAACAGACAUUUUUUGAGGUGUCUGGGUAAGUACAGGGUGACAACUGGAAGCAAUACUUGUGAAAUACUGACUUCAUUUUCAUUUACCAAAACUAGUUAAACUGGGAUUACUCUGGGAGACUAAUCUGAUUGAGCUGUGUAACUGAUUCAAUUGCCAUGUGUUAGGACAAGUAAAUUCACCCACUACAAUUAGUGUUUUGUUGCAUGCCCUGUUAAUUUGCAUUUUAUUAUUAAGGAAAUGUUUUAGCUGUGAUCAAACUAAAUAUCAGACCUAGGAUAUUUUCAUUCAGAUGGUGACCAAUUAAAACCUGCCUCAUUGCUUUUGUAAAACCUUAAA